UACGAAGGGGGCUAGCGUUGCUCGGAAUUACUGGGCGUAAAGCGCACGUAGGCGGUCUUUUAAGUCGGGGGUGAAAUCCUGGAGCUCAACUCCAGAACUGCCUUCGAUACUGGAAGACUUGAGUCCGGGAGGGGUGAGUGGAACUGCGAGUGUAGAGGUGAAAUUCGUAGAUAUUCGCAAGAACACCAGUGGCGAAGGCGGCUCACUGGCCCGGUACUGACGCUGAGGUGCGAAAGCGUGGGGAGCAAACAGGG
rnacentral:rRNA from 1 species